AGAGUUUGACUCCUGGCUCGAGGACGAACGCUGGCGGCGUGCCUAACACAUGCAAGUCGAGCGGGGAUCUACCGAAUGAGAGCUUCGGCAGGAUUUUGGUAGAUUCUAGCGGCGGACGGGUGAGUAACGCGUGAGCAACCUGCCUUUAACAGGGGGAUAACGCAUCGAAAGAUGUGCUAAUACCGCAUGAGACCACAACGCUACAUGGCGAAGGGGUCAAAGGAGCAAUCCGGUUAAAGAUGGGCUCGCGUCCGAUUAGCUAGUUGGUGAGAUAACAGCCCACCAAGGCGACGAUCGGUAGCCGACCUGAGAGGGUGAUCGGCCACAUUGGAACUGAGAUACGGUCCAGACUCC
rnacentral:rRNA from 1 species